rnacentral:rRNA from 1 species
UACAGGGGGUGCUAGCGUUGUUCGGAAUUACUGGGCGUAAAGGGCGCGUAGGUGGCUUGAUAAGUCAGGAGUGAAAUCCCGGAGCUUAACUCCGGAAUUGCUUUUGAAACUAUCAGGCUAGAGUAUGUUAGAGGAAAUCGGAAUUCCUAGUGUAGAAGUGAAAUUCGUAGAUAUUAGGAAGAACACCGGUGGCGAAGGCGGAUUUCUGGGACAUAACUGACACUGAGGCGCGAAAGCGUGGGGAUCAAACAGG